rnacentral:tRNA from 2 species
GGGGCUGUAGCUCAUUUGGCUAGAGCGCCGCGUUUGCACCGCGGAGGUAAGGAGUUCGACUCUCCUCAGCUCCACCA